AAGACACAGAAGGGUGGAAACCAGAUGCUGCAGAGGGCAGGCCCACAACUUCACUCAGGAAUUGAAGACACUUGGGGUCACAGCAAGCUCAGCCACUGGCUAAGAGAGCAGGGACAUCAAAUCCAAGUAGAGAAAGGUAAGUGUUGAUCUGAAAAAAUAAUCCAAGAUCAAUGUUAGGGAGGCUUCCCUAAUUACAAGACUUAGAAGUAAGGGUUGGUACUCGUUGUGGUUUGGAUUAGUGUCUACAGGCCACAUGUUGAAUGGUUGGUCCUCAGUCCUUGGUGCCAUUAGGAAGUAGAAGAACCUUCAGGAGGUGGAGCCUAGUGGAAGAAGGUUAGAUCAUUGGGGAUGUGCCCUUGAAGGGUUUUUUGGAAGGCUGGCUCCUCCUCUUUCUCUCUUUUUUGCUUCCUGGCUGCUAUGAGAUGACAGCCUUAUCCACCAGCUCCUACUGCUGUGAGGUACUGUGCCACCAGGCAGUGGGGUCAAUCAACCAUGAACUGAAACCCCCCAAACUGUGAGCCCAAACCAACUUCUCCUUUUUAAGUUGAUGAGCUCAGUCGUUUUGCCACAGCGGCAGAACACGGACUAACACAGUACCGAGUUCAUCAACCCAAACACCUCCUCUUCCAAGAAGCUUUCUCUGGCUCGCUGCCCUUGGUCAGAAGUGGUCAUUCUCCUGGGCUCAGACAGCACCUGGACAUUUCUUCCAUAAACUCAUGCUCUCUUGCAGUCUUAUUUUCACUCUUCUGUCUCUUGUCCUAGAGACAGAACUUGCAGGCCAGAAAAUAAACCUUAAUAUUUCUUAAGUUUUCAAAACUAAACACAGAGCCUUAUGCAUAUGAAGCAUUCAAGUCUUGGUGGUUUAAGCAGAAAUAUAGAAAACUAUGGAUAAAAGUAUUUCAGGUGAUACCAUCCCAAAAAAAGUAUGGGGAGAAGCGAAAUCUUCAGCAACAGGAGAAUAAUUAAAUGAGUUUGUUUAUAAAUAGAUGCAGACACAAAAUUUUUUAAGAUCUUACAACAUAUCAUUUCUUAAAAUACACAAUUAAACUAGCUACUGGCAUAAGGCAGAAAGCCUUGUAUUAUCUGUUACAUAAAUACAUCAAGAAGUAUAUACACAAAAAAUUAAAUAAAAAGAGACUGGAAAGAGGAAUUUUGUCUAGAAUAUGGGAGUAGAAGUGAUAUUUUGAGUGUCAUAUUUAUAUUUUUACAUGUGAACAUAUGAAAAGAAGGAAAGUUGCAAUGAAAAAGUAUUUUCCCUCGAGAAUCUGCCCAAUGCCACAUUGAAUUUCUCAUUAGACAUAAAUGAGCCAUCCCUUAGCUUUAUUCUUUCUUUUUUUAUUCCUUAUGGGAAAAGAAUGAGGCAAAUAUAUAUUUCACACACUUAGAUAUUUAUUCAGAACCAGGCACACUGCAGAGAUUAUCUCAUUUCAUCUUUUCUAUGCUUCAAUAAGAUUUUAGGAUUCCCACCGUAUGGAGUCCACAGUAUCAGGGUCUUGUGAGACAGGAAGAAAACGACUGGGAGGUUAGGCUGGGUAAAGUCCCAUUAUUCUCUCCCUCUGGCUCUCAAAGGGAAGCCAAGUCUAGUGAAGAGGGAGGCAUAAACACCCCCCACUCAGAGACUGCUGGUCCCUUAGGGCCUUGGCAGGUUUGACCAUUUGAAAUCCUGGGUCUUGACGGUUGCAGUCAUUGUCCACCUAAGAGACCUUCUGGAAAGCAUAUAGGGAGGCACACAGCCCACCAUGCUCAGUUUCUUGGUAAAAGCAGAGUGGUAGCAGUGAUUGCUGUUUUCCCGUGGGAAAUGGCGACGGUAGCUUGAACCAAAGUAGCAGUGACAGUGGAGAUAAAGAAAAUGGGAUGGAUUUGAGAAAAAAAAUUAGAAGAUUGAAAAAAGGAGUCAACUUAGAUAUGAGAUACAUAUUAAAGAUGCCUCAUGGGCUUAUGCUAUGCAGAUGAAAACAAUAUCAUCUGCAGUGAGGGCUCCAUCUCUUUCUUCUCCAGAAGGACCAUUGAGUUGCUGUCUCCAGACACCAUUGAGAAGAUCUGGGUGGAACUGGGACUCACUGCAAUAUAUUAAGUUAAAGGAGGAAAAUCUUCACCUUCCUUUGUAUGUCUUAUUCCUAAAAUAUGUUCUUGUUAUUUUACUUCAGGAUUUAUAGAAUUUUUUCAUGUGCAUUGUCUAUAAGAUACAGAGGUAAGAUACAGGUGAUUAUUCUCAUUUUGAAAAGGAGGAAAGAAACUCUGAGAAGUUCAGUGAUAUGUCCAAAAUCAUAGGAGUCAUCUCAGUGCAAAUCCACUCAUUUACUCAUUUAUUCAUGCAACAUGUUUUUUGCACUUAACUCCCUAGAAAUCAGUGACAGAUUCAUCAUGGACCUAACAAAACUAAAGCUUUAGGGCCCCACAUCUACAUGGCCACCAAGGUGUUUGAAGAGACCCUAGAUGUUGGCUUAUCUGCUUAUGAACGUCAUCUAUUUUGUAAAAUUUGCCAAGGUCAUAGAGUUAAACUAAAUAAGGAGAAGUUAAGAUGUGGAUACAUUUGAUGUGAUCAUGGUGGAGUUGAUUAUGUCACUUGCAGUCACUAGAGGGGUGAGUGAUUGCUGGUUGUCUAGGUAUAAGAAAGGGCUGCAGGAGCGCAUCCACUGUCCACUGUGUGGUCCCCAGGUCUGAAGAUCUUGAUAACUCUGGAGAAUGUGUUCCCCGGCAUCUGCCUCUUCAAUCUCUG
rnacentral:lncRNA from 1 species